UACGUAGGUGGCAAGCGUUGUCCGGAUUUACUGGGUGUAAAGGGCGUGCAGCCGGGUAGGCAAGUCAGGCGUGAAAUCCAAGGGCUUAACCCUUGAACUGCGUUUGAAACUGUUUAUCUUGAGUACCGGAGGGGCAAUCGGAAUUCCUAGUGUAGCGGUGAAAUGCGUAGAUAUUAGGAGGAACACCAGUGGCGAAGGCGGAUUGCUGGACGGCAACUGACGGUGAGGCGCGAAAGUGUGGGGAGCAAAC
rnacentral:rRNA from 1 species